rnacentral:rRNA from 1 species
GACAGAGGCCUCGAGCGUUAGGCGGAAUCACUGGGCUUAAAGCGUGUGUAGGCGGACUUUUAAGUACCUUGUGAAAUCCCACGGCUCAACCGUGGAACUGCUCGGUAUACUGGGAGUCUUGAGCCAUCCAGGGGCUACCGGAACAAAUGGUGGAGCGGUGAAAUGCGUAGAUAUCAUUUGGAACGCCAAUGGUGAAAACAGGUAGCUGGGAGUGUGCUGACGCUGAGACACGAAAGCCAGGGGAGCGAACGGG